AGUGGCGAACGGGUGAGUAACACGUGAGUAACCUGCCCUUGACUCUGGGAUAAGCACUGGAAACGGUGUCUAAUACCGGAUACGACCUUCAGCCGCAUGGCUAGGGGGUGGAAAGAAUUUCGGUCAAGGAUGGACUCGCGGCCUAUCAGCUAGUUGGUGAGGUAAUGGCUCACCAAGGCGACGACGGGUAGCCGGCCUGAGAGGGUGACCGGCCACACUGGGACUGAGACACGGCCCAGACUCCUACGGGAGGCAGCAGUGGGGAAUAUUGCACAAUGGGCGCAAGCCUGAUGCAGCAACGCCGCGUGAGGGACGACGGCCUUCGGGUUGUAAACCUCUUUUAGUAGGGAAGAAGCGAAAGUGACGGUACCUGCAGAAAAAGCACCGGCUAACUACGUGCCAGCAGCCGCGGUAAUACGUAGGGUGCAAGCGUUAUCCGGAAUUAUUGGGCGUAAAGAGCUCGUAGGCGGUUUGUCGCGUCUGCUGUGAAAACUGGAGGCUCAACCUCCAGCCUGCAGUGGGUACGGGCAGACUAGAGUGCGGUAGGGGAGAUUGGAAUUCCUGGUGUAGCGGUGGAAUGCGCAGAUAUCAGGAGGAACACCGAUGGCGAAGGCAGAUCUCUGGGCCGUAACUGACGCUGAGGAGCGAAAGCAUGGGGAGCGAACAGGAUUAGAUACCCUGGUAGUCCAUGCCGUAAACGUUGGGAACUAGAUGUAGGGGCCAUUCCACGGUUUCUGUGUCGCAGCUAACGCAUUAAGUUCCCCGCCUGGGGAGUACGGCCGCAAGGCUAAAACUCAAAGGAAUUGACGGGGGCCCGCACAAGCGGCGGAGCAUGCGGAUUAAUUCGAUGCAACGCGAAGAACCUUACCAAGGCUUGACAUAU
rnacentral:rRNA from 1 species